GACGAACGCUGGCGGCGUGCUUAACACAUGCAAGUCGAGCGGAAAGGCCCUUUCGGGGGUACUCGAGCGGCGAACGGGUGAGUAACACGUGAGUAAUCUGCCCUGUGCUUUGGGAUAGCCACCGGAAACGGUGAUUAAUACCGGAUACGACCACCUCCCGCAUGAGAUGGUGGUGGAAAGUUUUUCGGCGCAGGAGGUGCUCGCGGCCUAUCAGCUUGUUGGUGGGGUAAUGGCCUACCAAGGCUUCGACGGGUAGCCGGCCUGAGAGGGUGACCGGCCACACUGGGACUGAGACACGGCCCAGACUCCUACGGGAGGCAGCAGUGGGGAAUAUUGGACAAUGGGCGGAAGCCUGAUCCAGCAACGCCGCAUGAGGGAUGACGGCCUUCGGGUUGUAAACCUCUUUCAGCACCGACGAAGCGAGAGGGACGGUAGGUGCAGAAGAAGGACCGGCCAACUACGUGCCAGCCGCCGCAGUAAAAC
rnacentral:rRNA from 1 species